AGGACGAACGCUGGCGGCGUGCUUAACACAUGCAAGUCGAGCGGUAAGGCCUUUCGGGGUACACGAGCGGCGAACGGGUGAGUAACACGUGGGUGAUCUGCCCUGCACUCUGGGAUAAGCCUGGGAAACUGGGUCUAAUACCGGAUAUGACCUGCUCUCGCAGUGGGGGGUGGGUGGAAAGAUUUAUCGGUGCAGGAUGGGCCCGCGGCCUAUCAGCUUGGUUGGUGGGGUAAUGGCCUACCGAAGGCGACGACGGGUA
rnacentral:rRNA from 1 species